GACGAACGCUGGCGGCGUGCUUAACACAUGCAAGUCGAACGGAAAGGCCCUGCUUUUGUGGGGUGCUCGAGUGGCGAACGGGUGAGUAACACGUGAGUAACCUGCCCUUGACUUUGGGAUAACUUCAGGAAACUGGGGCUAAUACCGGAUAGGAGCUCCUGCUGCCUGGUGGGGGUUGGAAAGUUUCGGCGGUUGGGGAUGGACUCGCGGCUUAUCAGCUUGUUGGUGGGGUAGUGGCUUACCAAGGCUUUGACGGGUAGCUGGCCUGAGGGGGUGACCGGCCACAUUGGGACUGAGGUACGGCCCAGACUCCUACGGGAGGCAGCAGUGGGGAAUAUUGCACAAUGGGCGGAAGCCUGAUGCAGUAACGCCGCGUGCGGGAUGACGGCCUUCGGGUUGUAAACCGCUUUCGCCUGUGACGAAGCGUGAGUGACGGUAAUGGGUAAAGAAGCACCGGCUAACUACGUA
rnacentral:rRNA from 1 species